GACAGAGGGUGCAAACGUUGCUCGGAAUUAUUGGGCGUAAAGCGCGCGUAGGCGGUCUGUUAAGUGGGAUGUGAAAUCCCCGGGCUUAACCUGGGAAUUGCAUUUCAAACUGGCCGACUAGAGUACGGUAGAGGGAGGUAGAAUUUCCUGUGUAGCGGUGAAAUGCGUAGAUAUAGGAAGGAAUACCAGUGGCGAAGGCGGCCUCCUGGAUCGAUACUGACGCUGAGGCGCGAAAGCGUGGGGAGCAAACAGG
rnacentral:rRNA from 1 species